CCCGGUUUGACGCACACGGCACCAAACUGUCUGAUUCCCUGGCCUUUGGGUCCCUGGGAGCUUAAUCUCUGCCAGAGGAAAGCAGGUGUGCUCCACUUCUCCCGUGAACCUGAAGAUGAGUUGCCCCAGACCCUUCUCAGUGAUUGGAAACUUAGGUGGUGGAGCUAACGGUUUCUUGUUACGAGACUUCCACAGACGACUCUCGUGGUGGGAUCCAUCCAUGGUUUAGCGACAUUAGUGGAAAACUUUUUUUUGGAACUGUUUUAAGUAUCGUUGAUGCACGCUUAGUUGUUAUCAAACUUGUAAAUUCAGAUUUUCGUGUGGUCAUUUAAGAAGUCCUCAACGAGAAGGUCAACGCAGUUGGCGGGCCUGAAUGAUGGGCCUGUGCUGUAUACACGUUAAUAAUUUCAACAGAAAUAACCCAAACACCGUCAUCGAUCCGGGCCAGUCCUAACUAAUGCCAGGCUCGUUGCAUCCGGAUGAUAGAUUAGAUUUGUGCUAAUGGUUUUAUUGCUUCUCCGCAGUAGUGUAGUUACAAUUUUUUUUUUUUUUUUUUUUUUGGUCCCACAAGAAAAAGAGUUUUUCCAAAAAUAGACAACUCAAAUUACUCAAAGAAAGGAAACCUGCUGUUUGCCUUCAGUGCCAUGUGGCACCAAGGUCUGACUUGGGUCACAUAGAGAGCGAACAGCAGGGCAGCCGGCUUUGAGCCUAGGCACAUCUUAAUUCUACAGGGUGUGGAGAGCUGAUGCCUGAAUCUGUCUCCUUUCUGUUGGGCACUGUUGGGUGAGUCUGGAGGUAAAUCAGAUGAUAGCUGGUUGGUACUAUGGCCCUUCUUUUUUUUUUUUUCCCCCAGUGUGAUAGAUAACAGCAUCAGAGAGAUGUUUGGUGGUUUUCAUUAACGGUAACCCUUUAGAGGUUAAUUUUAUGACCAGAAACUUUGUUUAGAACGCAGAGACGUGAACUGCUUCCAUGGGUAACAUAACUGCCUGGCUUGCUCUCUCCACAGUGCUCUCUAGGCGUACAGCCCAGGAGUGAGUAGAGGAGGACUGGGACUGCCUCCUUAUAUAAGGGUUUCUGGGCAUUGUGUAAGUCAGCUUUCAGGCAUGCAUUGCAGGUCACUUCCCAAGGUAUGUGAGUGUGUCUGAUUGUGAUUUAGGGGUAGGAUAACUUUGUGUACUUUGGUUUACAGGUAAGCAUCCACUCUCAACCAGAAAGAGUUUGAUAUGAUGUGUAAAGAGGGAGAAUGUUACCUUAAGGACAGUUGCCCAAAGGUUGGGAUGGUUAAAACCCGUGAAGGACACUUUGUAAGUGGAUCUGCAGUGGAAUGAAUGGAUCAUGAUUUUUACUUGCGGUGCUUGAAUAAUUUUUUUUUUCCCCAAAUGGGAUUAAUGGUUACAGCAUUGUUUUUCAUAAAUGUUCAGCACUGGAAACCCCUUGCAGUGUAACAAUUUGUGCCUUUGGGAGAAAGUUUUUUUUUUUUUUUUCCCUUGAGAUAUGUAUUAUAAUAAAGUUGUAAAAAGUACAUAACAAUGAAAAUAUGUAUCUUUACACUCUAGUAUGCCUAGUUUUGAGAAAUAGAUAUGUUUUGUAAAUUGUGCCAAAUGGACAUGAAAAUAUUUUCUCAUUGAUGUUUGAAUUAUAAAUGUUUUUGAGCUUAUGAAUGAAAAUAUUUAUAUAAAAUUUUGUUUUUUGGAAUUUGUAUGAAGUUUGCUUAACACACUCUUGCUCUAAGAAUUUUAAUUGUUGUCCUGAAGAAAUAAAACCUCAUCUGUGAACUUUUAUUAUGUAGGUUUUGUAUUUGUGAAGUAUAGAAGGCCAAAGCAAAACUGGUUAGACAUUGAAAAAGCAUGGUUAUGGUUUAUAAAAUAUUAAAGCUUUAUAUAAUAGCUUUUGGGGGCUAGAUUUAGAAAAUUACAAACAAAACGAUUAGCAUGUUGUUAAUUACAGCUUUACUACCUGACUUCUAUGUGAAGAAAAAAAUAUUUAGGGGUGUUCUCUUUGGGUUGUUUUAAAAAAUGAAUGUUAUAUUUGAAUUUGGUUUUAGGAGAUUUAAUUUUUUUGUAUUCAUAAAAACCCUGUUUGCAGGGUUGUAUUUCUUCCAACCUUCACUUGUUUUAAUUAGAUUAACUAUUAUAUAAAAUUCAGGUAGUACCACCCUAGGGGUAAGAAUGCAGAUAUGCAGAGCAAGUGGUAUGGUUCCUGCUUCAAAGAGGUCAUUAUCUAAGAUGUGACGGAAAGAAUAUGCUUAAUAAUGAAAGCUUGAAUUACUGAGCUGACACAAAAUCAGAUGAGUGGUGUAUAGUAAGACUGGAAAAGCUGCUUGGCUUUUAUCUACUAAGUUUUUAUCUAGGGUUUGAAGAAGUGGCAGGCAUAGACUGGUGGAGGGGAAGGGAGUUUGGGCGGGGGCAGGAGUGUUAAAAAGCACAGAGCUGGCACCUGGGGGAUGCAGGUACUUUCCUUGUGGGAAGUAGAGACUAAUUUAAAUGAACGUCAUGAAAAUAAGGUUUAUAAGGUUGUGGCCUGAGCUGGAGGAAUCUGAAAAAGUUUGGAUUAGAAAUUAGAAGUAGGGAGUUCUGCUGAAGGCCAUUGAACAUAACUGCAUGAAGGAAACCGAGGAGAUCAGCAGCCAGAUGCAGCGGAUUCAAGAGACGGAAGUGAGGAAACGGCCGAUUAGAGCCGUUUGUCAUCUUGGUGGACGGGGCAGGGAGGGGGUCUUAAGAAUAAGACCCGGUAGUUUUAAAACAAAGCAGGUGAAGUACGUGGCUCCUAAGUUUGUGAUGCCAAGUCAAAAUAAGAAUGGAACGAUUUUAUUAUCUGGUGUUGAAAACAAACUUACCCGGAGACAUGGCUUGCAAGUAAGUUGUUAACAAUGAUUGAGGGACAUCUGCCUUCUUAAACAUAUUGAACAAACUUCGAACACUAAAACCCAAGAAAAUUAGGCCAUAGUGAUAUUUUUUUUAAAUUGCUAGUACUUUCAACUAAAAAUAUUUGAGAUUGACUACUAAGAAGAGCCUGUAAUUUUAUUACUAACUUUUGAAUUAUAAUAGUAUAUUUAAGCCAUGGUUUAAGAGACAUUCUAAUUGGUGUAGGACUUGGUGUGAAAACAGCAUAAUAAAAACAAAUAAUCUGGAUUACCAAUGUUUAAAUUUUUAAGAAAUAGGUACUUGUAUUAAAAUUUAGGAACAGUUGAGGAAAAACUCCUUUUUUAGGGGAGAAAUCCCUAAAAUAUAGUUCCCUCUGGGCAGUAGUAGUUUUUGAUAUGUAAGAUGUAACAUGUUUGUCCUUACUGGAGUUUUUAAGAGUUCUUAACUUGAAUGUAUACUGUGGUCCCACAGUGAGUAUGAUUAUCCUUAGAAUUAGAAAAAUAUGGGGAGUUCCUGUUGUGGCGCAGUGGAAGUGAAUCCGACUAGUAUUCAUGAGGAUGCAGGUUCAGUCCCUGGCCUCGCUCAGUGGGUUGGGGAUUUGGUGUUGCCAUGAGCUGUGGUGUAGGCUGCAGACCAUGGCUUAGAUCUGGUGUUGCUGUGGCUGUGGUGUAGGCCAGCAGCUGCAGCUCCGAUUGGACCCCUAGCCUGGGAAGUUCAUGUGCUGUGGACGUGGCCCUAAAAAAAAAGCAAAAUAUGAAAAAAUAUGAAAGUGAUAUAAUUUUAAAAAUCUGUCUUUUUAAGAGUUAAGUAAAUAUAACCAAGUUUAGGAGUUAAUAGAGUCUUCCAGUUUUAAGAUAUUACAUCAGUCUUAUAAAAAGUUUAGGAAUUCCCAUUGUGGCUCAGUGGGUCAAGGGACCUGCCAUUAUUUCUGUGAGGAUGUGGGUUCAGUCCCUGCCUCGCUCGGUGGGUUAAGGAUCCACUGUUGCCACAAGCUUCUGCGUAGGCUGCAGAUGUGGCUCAGAUCUGGUGUUGAAGUUGCCAUGGCUGCAACUCCAGUUUGACCCCUGGCU
rnacentral:lncRNA from 1 species